UACGAAGGGGGCUAGCGUUGUUCGGAUUUACUGGGCGUAAAGCGCACGUAGGCGGUUUUGUUAAGUCAGGGGUGAAAUCCCGGAGCUCAACUCCGGAACUGCCUUGAUACUGGCAAGCUAGAGUCCGGAAGAGGUAAGUGGAACUCCUAGUGUAAGAGGUGGAAUUCGGUAGAUAUUAGGAAGAACACCAGGUGGCGAAGGCGGCUUACUGGUCCGGAACUGACGCUGAGGUGCGAAAGCGUGGGGAGCAAACAGG
rnacentral:rRNA from 1 species